GCCGUUCUAGCUCAGGGGUAGAGCGACGCACUUGUAAUGCGUAGGUCAGUGGUUCAAAUCCGCUGUGCGGCA